AAUGCUUCAGUGGAAGUUGGCAUUUCUUGAAGGAAGCACUCCAUCUUCGGUGCGAGCCCCAGAUGCAGGAAGGAAGGCAAUGCCAGACACGGGCACAGGCACAGCAGACUGGGAGGCUGGGAAGGAUUCCCCAUUAGCCUGGCGCUCUGAAGUUGUGAAGCCCUCCGAGCAUUCUGCAGAUGUGUCUGCAGGGACGACUUCACCAACUCCUACCCUGGAUGCUGCACAAAAGCCCAGCUCCCAUGGCAGGGGU